rnacentral:rRNA from 1 species
AUUGAACGCUGGCGGCAGGCCUUACACAUGCAAGUCGAACGGCAGCACGGGGGCAACCCUGGUGGCGAGUGGCGAACGGGUGAGUAACACAUCGGAACGUACCCUAUCGUGGGGGAUAACCAGUCGAAAGAUUGGCUAAUACCGCAUGCACUGGAGACAGCAAAGCGGGGGACCGGCAACGGCCUCGCGCGAUUGGAGCGGCCGAUGUCCGAUUAGCUAGUUGGUGGGGUAAAGGCUCACCAAGGCGACGAUCGGUAGCUGGUCUGAGAGGAUGAUCAGCCACACUGGGACUGAGACACGGCCCAGACUCCUACGGGAGGCAGCAGUGGGAAUUUGGACAAUGGGGGCAACCCUGAUCCAGCCAUGCCGCGUGAGUGAAGAAGG